UACAGAGGCCUCGAGCGUUAGGCGGAAUCACUGGGCUUAAAGCGUGUGUAGGUGGAGUUCUAAGUACCUUGUGAAAUCCCACGGCUCAACCGUGGAACUGCUGGGUAUACUGGUUCUCUUGAGGUACCUAGGGGCGAGCGGAACAAGUGGUGGAGCGGUGAAAUGCGUAGAUAUCACUUGGAACGCCAACGGUGAAAACAGCUCGCUGGGGGUAUCCUGACACUGAGGAGCGAAAGCCAGGGGAGCAAACGGG
rnacentral:rRNA from 1 species